UGCACCGGUAGCUCAGUUGGAUAGAGUGCCUGGCUACGAACCAGGAAGUCAGAGGUUCGAAUCCUCUCCGGUGCAA
rnacentral:tRNA from 1 species